CGGAGAAUAGCUCAGAUGGCUAGAGCGCGCGCUUUGGGAGCGUGAGGCCGCAGGUUCGAGUCCUGUUUCUCCGA
rnacentral:tRNA from 1 species